AAAAAAAUGAAUAUAUUGGAGAAUAUAUUAUACAUAAUAAUAUAUCUAUACCGAGGAAAAAGAAAUAAAAUGGAAAUGACAAGAAACAUUCUAAUACUAAUUUGAUCUCGGAAUGAAAUGAAUAAAAUAACAAAUAUAUAUAUAGUUAAUUUUGUAAGUCAUGUAGUUUAAAGAAACAAGAAAACUUUUUUAAAAUACUCAGAACAGCAAGUCUAUUUUGUAAAUUUCUCAUAUAUAUAUAUAUAUAUAUAUUAUAUAUAUUUUGCUUAAUUUCUGAAAAUAUAAUAAUUUAAGAAUAUAUUAAUUUCCAUAGUUUAGAUUAAUCAAGUUACUUGAAUUUAAAUGAAGUAAGAGAUUUUAAAGUUAUGUAAUACGAUUGAAAAAUGUUUUUUUUUGAAAAUAUGGCAGCAUAAAGUGAUAAUAAUAUAAAAUGAUAAUAAAUAUAAAAUAUGUACUUUAAA